AUUGAACGCUGGCGGCAGGCCUAACACAUGCAAGUCGAGCGGCAGCGGGAAAGUAGCUUGCUACUUUUGCCGGCGAGCGGCGGACGGGUGAGUAAUGCCUGGGAAAUUGCCCAGUCGAGGGGGAUAACAGUUGGAAACGACUGCUAAUACCGCAUACGCCCUACGGGGGAAAGCAGGGGACCUUCGGGCCUUGCGCGAUUGGAUAUGCCCAGGUGGGAUUAGCUAGUUGGUGAGGUAAUGGCUCACCAAGGUGACGAUCCCUAGCUGGUCUGAGAGGAUGAUCAGCCACACUGGAACUGAGACACGGUCCAGACUCCUACGGGAGGCAGCAGUGGGGAAUAUUGCACAAUGGGGGAAACCCUGAUGCAGCCAUGCCGCGUGUGUGAAGAAGGCCUUCGGGUUGUAAAGCACUUUCAGCGAGGAGGAAAGGUUGAUGCCUAAUAUGUAUCAACUGUGACGUUACUCGCAGAAGAAGCACCGGCUAACUCCGUGCCAGCAGCCGCGGUGAUACGGAGGGUGCAAGCGUUAAUCGGAAUUACUGGGCGUAAAGCGCACGCAGGCGGUUGGAUAAGUUAGAUGUGAAAGCCCCGGGCUCAACCUGGGAAUUGCAUUUAAAACUGUCCAGCUAGAGUCUUGUAGAGGGGGGUAGAAUUCCAGGUGUAGCGGUGAAAUGCGUAGAGAUCUGGAGGAAUACCGGUGGCGAAGGCGGCCCCCUGGACAAAGACUGACGCUCAGGUGCGAAAGCGUGGGGAGCAAACAGG
rnacentral:rRNA from 1 species